UAAACGAAUCGAAUUAGAAAAAACAACCAAUUCUAUGAUCGUUAAAAAAAUUUCAGAAAUAUCAAAAGACUUCUCAAGGAACUGUCCAAUAAAAUAAAUCCAAACGCAUAUUUUUUUCUCUCUCGACUAAAACCUAAAACUAGCCGCCGUCCAUCCAGAUCUGUUUUCCGCUUGCCCUCUCCGGUGAUCGGCGCUCCUCGUCGCAGCCGUGAGAGGGUACCCAGUAGUUCCCUUUUCGUUUAGUUGUUGUUUCUUUUGAUUCGUCUUACCUCUGGUGGUUAAGUAGAGAGGAGUUGUCAGGUUGACGGUGGUUCAUCUCGGCGAGCUUUAGAGGCAUGGCAGGUGGUCAGCUUCUCCAGAGAGAGUUGUCGUUCUGGGCUUCCGAGAUCUGUAGAUCUAAUGGUUGCUCUGUCUUAGAAAAGGAUUUGCGAAUCGGUGACCUUUUGUCUCGCUCCAGCUCCUUGGUCCGGCCUACAAGUUCUUAUGUGUCCUUUAGAGUUCUCUUUGGGUUCACUCUGGUUCGAUCUUCCGCUGUCCUUGUUUGUGAUUGGUGGUGUCCAGUUUGGAUUGUUCGCUCCUAGUCUCUGCUUUUCAGAUCUGUUCGAGGUCUGGUCCUAUGGGUUUUGCUUCUACCUAGGUGCAAAAAAGUCGCCUUGUAUACGACAUCGCCGUAUCCGGAAGAAGUGUGAAGAACUAAGUGGUUCUGUCUUUGCGGAUUAUGAAGAUUACCAUAGGAGUUCUGUUACUUUUAGGCAGUUUCUUAGAGGAGGAAUGGAUUUUCGAAGGUUGGCCGAGGGCAUCUUCGUUUUGUACAAGCAAAGGAUCUCUUGAAGUUAGCAUUCCUUGUGGGUUUUGGUAUAAUCCUUCUUUGUGAGGUUUUUGUUUUGGUAUGUUUUUGUUAUGGGUGUUUCCUUCAAUCUUUGUAAUAGCCUUGUUUUUCAGUUCUUAGUUUCCCUUGCAUAGGGCUUUAGAUUCCGGGGAUAUCUUGUUCUUCCGCCGGCUUUAGACCUGGAGAUAUCAUGUUUUUCCGCCGGCUUUGCUUGUAAUCCUAAGUUGUAAUGGUUUGAAUAAUAAAAUUCUA